ensembl:miRNA
UGAGGCAGGAGAAUUGCUUGAACCCAGGAGGUGGAGGCUGCAGUGAGCCGAGAUUGGCCACUGCACUCCAGCCUGGGCGACACAGCAAGACUCCGUCUCA